UACGUAGGGGGCAAGCGUUGUCCGGAAUCAUUGGGCGUAAAGAGCGUGUAGGCGGCCAGAUAAGUCCGCUGUGAAAUCUCGAGGCUCAACCUCGAGACGUCGGCGGAAACCAUCUGGCUAGAGUCCGGAAGAGGAGAGUGGAAUUCCUGGUGUAGCGGUGAAAUGCGCAGAUAUCAGGAGGAACACCGGUGGCGAAGGCGGGUCUCUGGGCCGAUACUGACGCUGAGGAGCGAAAGCGUGGGGAGCGAACAGG
rnacentral:rRNA from 1 species